rnacentral:rRNA from 1 species
GAUAACUUGCCCUCAGGUAGGGGAUAAUCUCGGGAAACUGAGGAUAAUACCCUAUAGGCAUCCUUUGCUGGAAUGCUUGGAUGUUCAAAGGUAACGCCUGAGGAUAGGUCUGCGGCCUAUCAGGUUGUAGUGGGUGUAACGGACCCACUAGCCUACGACGGGUACGGGCCUUGAAAGAGGUAGCCCGGAGAUGGACUCUGAGACACGAGUCCAGGCCCUACGGGGCGCAGCAGGCGCGAAAACUUCGCAAUGCGGGAAACCGUGACGAGGGAAUCCCGAGUGCUCAUACAAUGUAUGGGCUUUUCUUAUGUGUAAAAAGCAUGAGGAAUAAGGGCUGGGUAAGACCGGUGCCAGCCGCCGCGGUAAUACCGGCAGCUCUAGUGGUAGCCACUUUUAUUGGGCCUAAAGCGUCCGUAGCCGGUCAGGUAAAUCCUUGGGUAAAUUGUACAGCUUAACUGUGCGGCUUCCGGGGAGACUGCCUGACUUGGGACCGGGAGAGGUUGGAGGUACUCCUGGGGUAGGGGUGAAAUCCUGUAAUCCUAGGUGGACCACCGGUGGCGAAGGCGUCCAACCAGAACGGCUCCGACGGUGAGGGACGAAGGCUAGGGGCGCAAACCGGAUUAGAUACCCGGGUAGUCCUAGCUGUAAACGCUGCAGACUUGGUGUUGGAGAUCCUAGGAGGGUGUCCAGUGCCGGAGAGAAGUUGUUAAGUUUGCCGCCUGGGAAGUAUGGCCGCAAGGCUGAAACUUAAAGGAAUUGGCGGGGGAGCACCGCGACGGGAGGAGCGUGCGGUUU